GACGAACGCUGGCGGCGUGCUUAACACAUGCAAGUCGAACGGAAAGGCCCUGCUUUUGUGGGGUGCUCGAGUGGCGACCGGGUGAGUAACACGUGAGUAACCUGCCCUUGACUUUGGGAUAACUUCAGGACACUGGGGCUAAUACCGGAUACGAGCUCCUGCUGCAUGGUGGGUUUUGUAAAGUUUCGGCGGUUGGGGAUGGACUCGCGGCUUAUCAGCUUGUUGGUGGGUUAGUGGCUUACCAAGGCUUUGACGGGUAGCCGGCCUGAGAGGGUGACCGGCAAAAUGGGGACUGAGAUACGGCACAGAGUAGUAAGGGAGGCAGCAGUAGGGAAUAAUGCACAAUGGGCGGAAGCAUGAUGCAGCAACGCGGCGUGAGGGAUGACGGACUUCGGGUAGGAAACCGCUUUGGCCUGUGACGAAGCGUGAGUGACGGUAAUGGAUAAAGAAGCACCGGCUAACUACGUG
rnacentral:rRNA from 1 species